CACUAAAAAACCGAGAUUGCCCUUUUGGCAUUUUUUUUUUCCGUUUUUGUUACUACUAAAAAUAAGGGCAAUAUUGGUAUUAGAUGACUCAAAUUUUCUCAUUGCUUCUGGCCCCACCUUGAAGCGCAUUUACCUCAUUGCCCUUCUCUCAUAUCACAUUGGCAUUUUUGUUUCAAAGUCAAUCGGAGACCGAGAAAGAAAACAACAUCGGCGAAAGAACGGAGAAAGAAGAAACUCCGCAGAAGAAUAAUACAAAGGAAGGAAGAAGAACUAUUGGGUUGAAGAAAUGGAGGCUAAAGAUCAACAUGUUUUGUUCUUUUUCGUUGUUCCUCCUUACACCUACGUGUUUAUUUACUAACUUUGCAAUACAUUAACGCGCGUUUCGUUAUCGCUAUUUGAACGCGGAAUGUUUCAUUAAUAGAGUGUUUAUUUUUAUUUUUUAAGGUGAACGGAGCUACUUCUUCGAUGGAAAUUGGGAUGCAAAAGAAAAAUGCAAGGUGCUAAGAUAAGCACAAUGCAAGGUAUUAGUAUGUAAUGUAAAGAGAACAUGUUAUUCCACUUAAUAUGCAUUAUUAUCCUGUACAAGUAUCAAAUGGAUGGAAUGGUACAAGACUGCUUAUCAAUGAAGACAUACUAGAAAUCAAUGACUUUUAGAAAAGGGUUAUCAAACAUGAAUUUAGUUGUUGUUGUUCUUUGGAAAAAAAUCUGCAAAUACUAGCUUGCGCAAAUGGAGCUAAAGAAGAUAAGGAGUUGAAUCUUGGUAGCUCUUCCAUGGAAAGUGAGUUACAAAAGGUUGAUCAUGAUGCAUUGGAAAAGAAGGAAAACAAUGAAAGGUAUAGGUUGGAUGUUGAGGUUUAUGAUGGCUAGCUUAGAGAAAGCAAAGUUUGUGUUUUGGGAUAAUACACUUGAUGAGUUGUUUGGCAUGACUACCGCUAUAAUUGAGAAAAUGGAAAAGUGCGGUCUAGGCGAACCUCAAGUAUAUCCUGAAGCUAUGGACGAUCUUAUGGAGAGGAAGUAUACUUGCUGCAUUUUUUGGAUAGGCUUCUUUAUCCGACACUGAUGAGAUUGAUCCUGCCGUAGCUAACUUGAAGACACCUGCAAAAUGAAUUGGGGAAAUUCUUAUUACAAAUGAGGAAAAUGAUGAAGAGAAAUAUGUUAUUGUUGUCAAAUUGUCUUCAACUAAACUGAUGAAGAUUCCCAAACUUGAGUGACUCAUGUUGGGUUAUGUACUGUAAAACUUAUUAUCAGUCCCUUUUUUUUGAACUAACUGCUUUUAACUAUCCUUUUGAGAAGUACUUUAUGAUGUUCAAAAUAUGUGACACAUGAACAACACAUUUGAUGUGUGUCAUCUAUGUUUUGCUAUUUUAAGUUGUGCUGUUAAAUUUUGGCACACUUUAUCUUCUUUGAUUAUUAUUAUGUAUGAUGAUGAUGUAUGAUAUAUUAUGUGU